AUGUGUGCCUAGCAAGAGAGAUACCAUGAUCAUGAAGGUGGUUUCCCUGGACGAGGCUUAUUCAUUGCACUCCGGAUGUGCAAUGUGAUUUCCCCAAAUGCGAGAGCAUAAUUUGUGGUGGUGGUGGUAGGGGACUGUGUUUGUGCUCUCCUCUU
rnacentral:snRNA from 1 species